UGGGGAAUUUUGCACAAUGGGGGAAACCCUGAUGCAGCGACGCCGCGUGAUUUAGAAGGCCUUCGGGUUGUAAAAAUCUUUUCUCUGGGAAGAAAAUGACAGUACCAUAGGAAUAAGGACCGGCUAAUUACGUGCCAGCAGCCGCGGUAAUACGUAAGGUCCGAGCGUUGUCCGGAAUCAUUGGGCGUAAAGGGUACGUAGGCGGGUAAGCAAGUUAGAAGUGAAAUCCUAUAGCUCAACUAUAGUAAGCUUUUAAAACUGCUCAUCUUGAGGUAUGGAAGGGAAAGUGGAAUUCCUAGUGUAGCGGUGAAAGGCGCAGAUAUUAGGAGGAAUACAGGUGGCGAAGGAGACUUUCUGGCCAUAACCUGACGCUGAGGUAAGAAAGCGUGGGUAGCAAACAGG
rnacentral:rRNA from 1 species